CUUCAACGACCCCAGCCACAGCGGCCGCUCACGGCCCUGGCCGUACGUCGCCAUGAUCGCCUGCGCCUC
rnacentral:antisense_RNA from 1 species